rnacentral:rRNA from 1 species
AUCCCUCCGCAGCUAGCUUCUUAGAGGGACUAUGGCCGUUUAGGCCACGGAAGUUUGAGGCAAUAACAGGUCUGUGAUGCCCGGGUAAUCUUGGGAAAUUUCAUCGUGAUGGGGAUAGAUCAUUGCAAUUGUUGGUCUUCAACGAGGAAUGCCUAGUAAGCGUGAGUCAUCAGCUCGCGUUGACUACGUCCCUGCCCUUU